CUCCAGAUAAGGCUUUGAGGUGUUCUGUGGAGACCUGCAUUUUUGCUUUUGGCCUGGAUUCUUGUCCUCUAGGAGUCGCUCUUGUGGGCCUUUUGCGGUUAAACAGGUCUAAGGAGUUCCUGGGACUCCCACAGGGAAAGGAAUCCUCAACAAAGG